UCUCACGGAAUUUUAGGUAAUUUUAACACUUAUAUGAAUGUCAAGUUUGUCAUGUCAUGUUAGUUACAAUUUCAAAUGAUGAUCAAACCACAGACCUGUUCUGAAGUCAUGAGGAAAAACAAUAACUUUUACCUGAUUUAAGAUUUAUAUUUAAGAGAUACUACUCUAGUUAGUGCAACAGUUAUUCACUGCUUUUUUCUUUACAGGACUGUAACAAAUUGAAAACUACUGCCUGGAAUGUUCUCAUUGAUACAACAGUGGAUUCCUUCGCAUGCAGUCAGCUUACCAAGUGCCAACUCUCUCUGCCUGGAGUUAGCAUCAUGCCCUUUAGAAAGAACUGACGCGGCAACAGCUAGAGACAACGAAUGACAACGAAAACAAAUUCAUACAUAAGUGGACUGAAGGAAGAUAUGACAUUGACAAGGUUAUGUUGAUUAUUUAAUGUUAUUUAACGUUGUGUUGUUUGU